GUACUUGCUUCGGCAACACAUAUACUAACAUUGGAACAUACAGAGAAGAUUGCCAUGGCCCCUGCGCAAGGAUGACAUGCAAAUUCGAGAAGCGUUCCAUAUCAAA
rnacentral:snRNA from 1 species